UACAGAGGGGGCAAGCGUUAUUCGGAAUUAUUGGGCGUAAAGGGCGCGUAGGCGGCUUGGCAAGUGGAUGGUGAAAUCCCUCGGCUUAACCGAGGAACUGCCGUCCAAACUGCUUCGCUUGAGACCGGGAGAGGUGAGUGGAAUUCCCAGUGUAGCGGUGAAAUGCGUAGAUAUUGGGAAGAACACCGGUGGCGAAGGCGGCGAGCUGGUCCAUUACUGACGCUGAGGCGCGACAGCGUGGGGAGCAAACAGG
rnacentral:rRNA from 1 species